rnacentral:rRNA from 1 species
GACGAACGCUGGCGGCGUGCUUAACACAUGCAAGUCGAACGGAAAGGCCCUGCUUUUGUGGGGUGCUCGAGUGGCGAACGGGUGAGUAACACGUGAGUAACCUGCCCUUGACUUUGGGAUAACUUCAGGAAACUGGGGCUAAUACCGGAUAGGAGCUCCUGCUGCAUGGUGGGGGUUGGAAAGUUUCGGCGGUUGGGGAUGGACUCGCGGCUUAUCAGCUUGUUGGUGGGGUAGUGGCUUACCAAGGCUUUGACGGGUAGCCGGCCUGAGAGGGUGACCGGCCACAUUGGGACUGAGAUACGGCCCAGACUCCUACGGGAGGCAGCAGUGGGGAAUAUUGCACAAUGGGCGGAAGCCUGAUGCAGCAACGCCGCGUGCGGGAUGACGGCCUUCGGGUUGUAAACCGCUUUCGCCCGUGACGAAGCGUGAGUGACGGUAAUGGGUAAAGAAGCACCGGCUAACUACGUGCCAGCAGCCGCGGUGAUACGUAGGGUGCGAGCGUUGUCCGGAUUUAUUGGGCGUAAAGGGCUCGUAGGUGGUUGAUCGCGUCGGAAGUGUAAUCUUGGGGCUUAACCCUGAGCGUGCUUUCGAUACGGGUUGACUUGAGGAAGGUAGGGGAGAAUGGAAUUCCUGGUGGAGCGGUGGAAUGCGCAGAUAUCAGGAGGAACACCAGUGGCGAAGGCGGUUCUCUGGGCCUUUCCUGACGCUGAGGAGCGAAAGCGUGGGGAGCGAACAGGCUUAGAUACCCUGGUAGUCCACGCUGUAAACGGUGGGUACUAGGUGUGGGGUCCAUUCCACGGGUUCCGUGCCGUAGCUAACGCUUUAAGUACCCCGCCUGGGGAGUACGGCCGCAAGGCUAAAACUCAAAGGAAUUGACGGGGCCCCGCACAAGCGGCGGAGCAUGCGGAUUAAUUCGAUGCAACGCGUAGAACCUUACCUGGGUUUGACAUGGAUCGGGAGUGCUCAGAGAUGGGUGUGCCUCUUUUGGGGUCGGUUCACAGGUGGUGCAUGCCUGUCGUCAGCUCGUGUCGUGAGAUGUUGGGUUAAGUCCCGCAACGAGCGCAACCCUUGUUCACUGUUGCCAGCACGUUAUGGUGGGGACUCAGUGGAGACCGCCGGGGUCAACUCGGAGGAAGGUGGGGAUGACGUCAAGUCAUCAUGCCCCUUAUGUCCAGGGCUUCACGCAUGCUACAAUGGCUGGUACAGAGAGUGGCGAGCCUGUGAGGGUGAGCGAAUCUCGGAAAGCCGGUCUCAGUUCGGAUUGGGGUCUGCAACUCGACCUCAUGAAGUCGGAGUCGCUAGUAAUCGCAGAUCAGCAACGCUGCGGUGAAUAAGUUCCCGGGGCU